AAUGAAUGAUGACAAGAUGUUUCGGUCCCAAAUGACAUGGAAUGAUUCUACUUUCCUACUUUCUGACAUU
rfam:Tyto alba contig122015, whole genome shotgun sequence.